GUAUCCAUGGAGUAGAAGUUAACUCGUUCCCCUUCCAUUAAUCAGGCAAGGGAAAGACCCGGGUGCAAGUCCCGGUGGGUGCA